GGAAGGUGCGAGCGUUAAUCGGGAAUCACUGGGCGUAAAGCGCGCGUAGGCGGUUAGGUAAGUCAGAUGUGAAAGCCCCCGGGGCUUAACCUGGGGAACUGCGUUUGAUACUGCCUAACUAGAGUGUGAUAGAGGGAAGUGGAAUUCCACAUGUAGCGGUGAAAUGCGUAGAGAUGUGGAGGAACACCAAUGGCGAAGGCAACUUCCUGGAUCAACACUGACGCUCAGGUGCGAAAGCGUGGGGAGCAAACAGGAUUAGAUACCCUGGUAGUCCACGCUGUAAACGAUGUCUACUAGCCGUUGGGAGGGUUUGCCUCUUAGUGGCGCAGCUAACGCGAUAAGUAGACCGCCUGGGGAGUACGGCCGCAAGGUUA
rnacentral:rRNA from 1 species